rnacentral:tRNA from 1 species
GGUUUGGUGGCCGAGGCGCUAUCGGCACUGGUCUUCACAAGGCAGGACAGGGGUUCAAAUCCCAUCCAGACCG